rnacentral:ncRNA from 2 species
UGGGGGUGCCACGGGAGCCCGGUAUGCCGGGCUGAGAGGAGGGCCGCCAGCCCUCGACCGUACGAACCUGAUCCGGAUCAUGCCGGUGUAGGGAGGUUGCGCGCCGCUCGC